UGGGGAAUAUUGGACAAUGGGGGGAACCCUGAUCCAGCCAUGCCGCGUGUGUGAAGAAGGCCUUAUGGUUGUAAAGCACUUUAAGCGAGGAGGAGGGUACUGGUAUUAAUACUACCAGGUACUGGACGUUACUCGCAGAAUAAGCACCGGCUAACUCUGUGCCAGCAGCCGCGGUAAUACAGAGGGUGCGAGCGUUAAUCGGAUUUACUGGGCGUAAAGCGUGCGUAGGCGGCUAAUUGAGUCGGAUGUGAAAUCCCCGAGCUUAACUUGGGAAUUGCAUUCGAUACUGGUUAGAUAGAGUGUGGGAGAGGAUGGUAGAAUUCCAGGUGUAGCGGUGAAAGGCGUAGAGAUCUGGAGGAAUACCGAUGGCGAAGGCAGCCAUCUGGCCUAACACUGACGCUGAGGUACGAAAGCAUGGGGAGCAAACAGG
rnacentral:rRNA from 1 species